GGCACAACCUUAAGUUAGUUAGUGGAUGGACUACUAAUAGCACCAAAAGACUCGAUCACUAAUCACCAGGAGACUAGAGAGAGAUAUAUUUUAUUCUUUAUGAUCAGCUUCACUUGCGGAUCUUGAAUCUUUAGAUUUGGAAAGUGCUGCAAACCCAAGAAAAAGAAACCUACCCGCUGAUAGCAAAUUCAAGAUGCUAAGUAAAAGACAUGAAGUAGUGCCUCCAAAAUCUUUAGAAAUCAAGCAAGAUGACAAGUUCUUCUCCAGAAUCAUGUCCAAAGAAACCUCCAUGGCUAAUUCUUCUUGCAGGAUCUACUACGGAGGUGCUUCAGGUGCAAUUCCUUUCAUGUGGGAAUUAAGACCAGGUACUCCUA
rnacentral:misc_RNA from 1 species